rnacentral:rRNA from 1 species
AUUGAACGCUGGCGGCAGGCCUAACACAUGCAAGUCGAGCGGAUGCAGGGAGCUUGCUCCUGGAUUCAGCGGCGGACGGGUGAGUAAUGCCUAGGAAUCUGCCUGGUAGUGGGGGAUAACGUCCGGAAACGGGCGCUAAUACCGCAUACGUCCUGAGGGAGAAAGUGGGGGAUCUUCGGACCUCACGCUAUCAGAUGAGCCUAGGUCGGAUUAGCUAGUUGGUGGGGUAAAGGCCUACCAAGGCGACGAUCCGUAACUGGUCUGAGAGGAUGAUCAGUCACACUGGAACUGAGACACGGUCCAGACUCCUACGGGAGGCAGCAGUGGGGAAUAUUGGACAAUGGGCGAAAGCCUGAUCCAGCCAUGCCGCGUGUGUGAAGAAGGUCUUCGGAUUGUAAAGAACUUUAAGUUGGGAGGAAGGGCAGUAAGUUAAUACCUUGCUGUUUUGACGUUACCAACAGAAUAAGCACCGGCUAACUUCGUG